GCCUAUGAUGUUUUUCAAUCCAACUUGUUUGAGGGGAGUUAGAUCCCAAGACCCUGUUUUACAGGGAGAACCUACUUGGUGUAUCUGCGUUUUCCUUUGACUGAAACAAUGUAAACUGAGGC